CACGUAGGGCGCAAGCGUUGUCCGGAAUUAUUGGGCGUAAAGAGCUCGUAGGCGGUCUGUUGCGUCCGCUGUGAAAACCCGGGGCUUAACCCCUGGCUUGCAGUGGAUACGGACAGACUAGAGGUAGGUAGGGGAGAAUGGAAUUCCCGGUGUAGCGGUGAAAUGCGCAGAUAUCGGGAGGAACACCGGUGGCGAAGGCGGGUCUCUGGGCCGGAACUGACGCUAAGGAGCGAAAGCGUGGGGAGCGAACAGG
rnacentral:rRNA from 1 species